GAUGAACGCUAGCGGCAGGCUUAAUACAUGCAAGUCGAGGGGUAGCAAGAUUGUAGCAAUACAAUUGUUGACGACCGGCAAACGGGUGCGGCACACGUACACAACCUUCCUACAAGUGGGGAAUAGCCCAGAGACAUUUGGAUUAAUACCCCGUAACAUAGCGAUGUGGCAUCACAUUGCUAUUAUAGCUUCGGCGCUUGAUGAUGGGUGUGCGGCUGAUUAGAUAGUUGGCGGGGUAACGGCCCACCAAGUCUACGAUCAGUAGCUGAUGUGAGAGCAUGAUCAGCCACACGGGCACUGAGACACGGGCCCGACUCCUACGGGAGGCAGCAGUAAGGAAUAUUGGACAAUGGACGCAAGUCUGAUCCAGCCAUGCCGCGUGAAGGAUUAAGGUCCUCUGGAUUGUAAACUUCUUUUAUAAGGGACGAAAAAAGGUCUUUCUAGAUCGUCUGACGGUACCUUAUGAAUAAGCACCGGCUAACUCCGUGCCAGCCGCCGCGGUAACAC
rnacentral:rRNA from 1 species